UCCCUGGUGGCUCAGAUGGUAAAGCAUCUGCCUGCAAUGUGGGAGACCCGGGUUUGAUCCCUGGGUUGGGAA
rnacentral:tRNA from 1 species